UACAGAGGGGGCUAGCGUUGUUCGGAAUUACUGGGCGUAAAGCGCACGUAGGUGGCGACGUAAGUCGGGUGUGAAAGCCCCGGGCUCAACCUGGGAACUGCAUUCGAGACUGUGUUGCUGGAGUACGGAAGAGGAGGGCGGAAUUCCCGGUGUAGCGGUGAAAUGCGUAGAUAUCGGGAGGAACAUCAGCGGCGAAGGCGGCCCUCUGGUCCAGUACUGACACUCAAGUGCGAAAGCGUGGGGAGCAAACAGG
rnacentral:rRNA from 1 species